UGGGCCGUAGCCAAGCGGUAAGGCAACGGACUUUGACUCCGUCACGCGCGCGUUCGAAUCGCGCCGGCCCAGCCA
rnacentral:tRNA from 1 species